UGGCCCCUUGGUCAAGUGGUUAAGACACCGCCCUUUCACGGCGGUAACAUGGGUUCAAAUCCCGUAGGGGUCAUC
rnacentral:tRNA from 1 species